CCUACGGGAGGCAGCAGUGGGGAAUAUUGGGCAAUGGGCGCAAGCCUGACCCAGCAACGCCGCGUGAAGGAAGAAGGCUUUCGGGGUGUAAACUUCUUUUAAGAGGGAAGAGCAGAAGACGGUACCUAUUGAAUAAGACACGGCUAACUACUUGCGAGCAGCCGCGGUAAUACGGAGGUGGCAAGCGUUGUCCGGAUUUACUGGGUGUAAAGGGCGUGUAGGCGGGCGGACAAGUCAGAUGUGAAAACCCGUGGCUCAACGACGGAACUGCAUUUGAAAUUGUCGGGCUAGAGUAUCGGAGCGGCAGGCGGAAUUCCUGGUGUAGCGGUGAAAUGCUUAGAUAUUAGAAGGAACACCAGUGGCGAAGGCAGCCUGC
rnacentral:rRNA from 1 species